GCCAGCAGCCAUAUCACCCUGCAACUCACAACUGGCAACCCACUGAAGCUAAGCAGGUGUAGCCUGUUUAGUACCUGGAUGGGAGACCUCCUGGGAAAAACUAAGGCUGCUGCUGGAA
rnacentral:rRNA from 1 species